rnacentral:rRNA from 1 species
UACGUAGGGUGCGAGCGUUGUCCGGAAUUAUUGGGCGUAAAGGGCUCGUAGGCGGUUUGUCGCGUCGGGAGUGAAAUCCACUGGCUUAACUGGUGGCUUGCUUUCGAUACGGGCAGACUGGAGGUAUGCAGGGGGAGAACGGAAUUCCUGGUGUAGCGGUGGAAUGCGCAGAUAUCAGGAGGAACACCGGUGGCGAAGGCGGGUCUCUGGGCCGAUACUGACGCUGAGGAGCGAAAGCGUGGGGAGCGAACAGG